rnacentral:rRNA from 1 species
GACGAACGCUGGCGGCGUGCUUAACACAUGCAAGUCGAACGGAAAGGCCCUGCUUUUGUGGGGUGCUCGAGUGGCGAACGGGUGAGUAACACGUGAGUAACCUGCCCUUGACUUUGGGAUAACUUCAGGAAACUGGGGCUAAUACCGGAUAGGAGCUCCUGCUGCAUGGUGGGGGUUGGAAAGUUUCGGCGGUUGGGGAUGGACUCGCGGCUUAUCAGCUUGUUGGUGGGGUAGUGGCUUACCAAGGCUUUGACGGGUAGCCGGCCUGAGAGGGUGACCGGCCACAUUGGGACUGAGAUACGGACCAGACUCCUACGGGAGGCAGCAGUGGGGAGUAUUGCACAAUGGGCGGAAGCCUGAUGCAGCAACGCCGCGUGCGGGAUGACGGCCUUCGGGUUGUGAAACGCUUUAGCCUGUGACGAAGCGUGAGUGACGGUAAUGGAUAAAGAAGCACCGGCUAACUACGUG